AAGGGAGACCUAAUUCAGGUAUGGGACGAAAAAAAAGUAGUCCCAACCAAGAAUCAAUCCCAAAAGGUCGGAGCGAGGCGAAAUUGGCUUUCAAACUAGGUUCUGGGUUCACACAAGACCUGAAUCAGGAACAAGGGCUAUUAGCUCAGGUGGUUAGAGCGCACCCCUGAUAAGGGUGAGGUCCCUGGUUCGAGUCCAGGAUGGCCCACCUGCACAGGUGGCAAAAACAAGAGAAGCGAGGAAUCAGCACCUUAUCUUAUCUAUAUAUAUAUAGGAGAGAAUGCUGGCUCUGAGUAAAGAGUCCAGAGGAACCUUGAAAACUGCAUAGAGCUAGGUGAAAAAGCCAAAAAAGAAGACCGCAA
rnacentral:tRNA from 1 species